CAGGAUUAGAGAUAUGUUUAAGGAUGAAAGUGGUUAUUGAAGGAGGGAAUUCUUGGCUAUUACAAAUGAUGUGAAAUUUUCUUGGCCUUUGGAAAGAGCAUUCUUGCUUGAAGCCGAACUCUAUUUUGAAUGAGUUAAGAUAGCUUGAAUUUUGUUAAAGAAAGAACCAAGCUAUAAACUGGGCAUGCAGCUUAAGGGAGGGGAAAGGAGUGGAUGAUCAGGAGGGACCCCUGAACUAGUGUUGAUCUACAUGACAGUCCAUAAAUGUGAGUGAGCUGCGUCAUUCUUCCAUGAAGCUUUCCUCUCCUCCCACUCAUAACAGUAAAGGCAAAAUGAACAAUGCGAAAGGUUUCAGUCUGCUCCUAAAAUUCCUUUUUCUUUCACAAUUAACUUCUUGGUCAGUUAUCAUUUGCAAAAUAUCAAAAGUUGAUAAUACAAGGAAUUCUAAGUGGACUUGCUCAUGUGUGGUGGAUCUAGGUUGGUCGUAGCUCGCCUGCCAACUUACGGUAUAUGUUAUAGACCCGGGCAUUCAUCUGGUAGGGAACACUAUCAUCAAGACCUAACACAAACAUUAUGCUGGUUGACUCAUCGGAUAAGACGUGCAUGUACAUUGAAUAUGGACCAUUGGUCAUUUUUUCAUUGGUCCAUUUUUUUCUCAUACAAGUGUGGCCCACCUAUUGAGUAGACUAGUAUGAUUUUUGGGCUUGAGCAUUAGCAUAGUGUGCCUUCACCUGUCAUGCUCUGCUUCUUGUGCACCUAUAGCAGUGUUUGUGUAAUUGUAUUCAUUGUAUGGGCUGUUUAUGAAACAUAAUACAGAUACAUGUUUGCUAGGUGUUUCUAUAUCAAGCUGAGCAAGCCUUACAUCAGAAAAUAGGAAAGGAAACAUGCAUGGAACUCAGCAGAGAACAUUUUUCCUGUAAACUAAAAAAACAACAAGAAGUUGAUCACUCCUUUGUUAUAUUUAUGCCAAAGAAAAAGAAAA